rnacentral:hammerhead_ribozyme from 1 species
AUCCAACUGACGGGUCCCAGAUAGAACGACACGUGUGUUCUGGAU